rnacentral:rRNA from 1 species
CUUAUGGCGAACGGGUGAGUAACGCGUGAGUAACCUGCCCUGGAGUGGGGGGAAACAGUUGGAAACGACUGCUAAUACCGCAUAAGCCCACGGCCCGGCAUCGGGCUGAGGGAAAAGGAUUUAUUUCGCUUUAGGAUGGACUCGCGUCCAAUUAGCUAGUUGGUGAGGUAACGGCCCACCAAGGCGACGAUUGGUAGCCGGACUGAGAGGUUGAACGGCCACAUUGGGACUGAGACACGGCCCAG